CGGAAUCUACCUUUUCGUGGGGGAUAACGUAGGGAAACUUACGCUAAUACCGCAUACGACCUUCGGGUGAAAGCAGGGGACCUUCGGGCCUUGCGCGGAUAGAUGAGCCGAUGUCGGAUUAGCUAGUUGGCGGGGUAAAGGCCCACCAAGGCGACGAUCCGUAGCUGGUCUGAGAGGAUGAUCAGCCACACUGGAACUGAGACACGGUCCAGACUCCUACGGGAGGCAGCAGUGGGGAAUAUUGGACAAUGGGCGCAAGCCUGAUCCAGCCAUACCGCGUGGGUGAAGAAGGCCUUCGGGUUGUAAAGCCCUUUUGUUGGGAAAGAAAAGCAGACGGCUAAUACCCGGUUGUUCUGACGGUACCCAAAGAAUAAGCACCGGCUAACUUCGUGCCAGCAGCCGCGGUAAUACGAAGGGUGCAAGCGUUACUCGGAAUUACUGGGCGUAAAGCGUGCGUAGGUGGUUGUUUAAGUCUGUUGUGAAAGCCCUGGGCUCAACCUGGGAAUUGCAGUGGAUACUGGGCGACUAGAGUGUGGUAGAGGGUAGUGGAAUUCCCGGU
rnacentral:rRNA from 1 species